rnacentral:rRNA from 1 species
GACGAACGCUGGCGGCGUGCUUAACACAUGCAAGUCGUACGGUAAGGCCCUUUCGGGGGUACACGAGUGGCGAACGGGUGAGUAACACGUGAGUAACCUGCCCACAACUUUGGGAUAACGCUAGGAAACUGGUGCUAAUACUGGAUAUGUUCUCCUGCUGCAUGGUGGGGGUUGGAAAGCUCCGGCGGUUGUGGAUGGACUCGCGGCCUAUCAGCUUGUUGGUGGGGUAGUGGCCUACCGAGGCGGCUACGGGUAGCCGGCCUGAGAGGGUGACCGGCCACAUUGGGACUGCAAUGCGGCCCAGAAUCCUACGAGUGGCAGCAGGGGGGAAUAUUGCACAAAAGGCGCAAGCCUGAUGCAGCAACGCCGCGUGCAGGAAGACGGCCUUCGGGUUGAAAACCGAUUUCAGCAGGGACGAAGCUUUUUGUGACGGUACCUACAGAAGAAGCAACGGCUAACUACGUG